UUAUAAAAGAUGGAGCGACUUAUUCUCACCGCCACACCGCUCGGUAAGGAAAUACUGCUCAUUCUUUUGUCAGACAAAAGCUCCAACGUGGCCGCGGGGUUCACCGGGAGGCUGCUGCUGUGGGAGUUUGGGCGCUGUAACAGGUGACGGGAGGCACGGGAGGACAAUUAAAACUGGCGGCCAUCACAGAGCAACAGAUGGAGGUGCACAACAGGAUAUUACCACUAAGAGGAUUCUUCUUUCUUUGCCUGUCACUCCGGACUUUUUUUUGUGGGGACAGACUCUUUCAUCGUGACCCAGCUCGACUGGCUUACUGGAACUGGUGUCGAGUUGUCGGUUAAGCCUUCUGAAACCCGCCACUACUCAUGUUGACCUGCUUGGCAAACAGAAAUCCCCCGAUCGAGUCCGCUGUGAAUAUCAUUAAAAUAAGUAACCAGGGUGGAUUAGAAAGUGGUCGUAGCGCCUUGAGUGUCUGAACUCUGACCUUUCAGUCAGAACUCUGAGGAGGAUGCUGCGAACCUGCUGACAUUAAAAUCGAUCGCUGUCAACACGCUGCCAUCCCUGAUACCACGAGGGACAUUGAUAACUGGUGCUGGUGUGAAGACCUGCAGAUGAAGACACACAUCCCCGGUGUGCUGCAGGAGACGGGAGGUGAAGGAGAGUGUAGGAGAAUUUGCAGGUCUUCAUGUGCACUUACCUGUCACUUCUCAGUCUCAGGUGCUUCCUGAUGUGACUACAUGGACACAUUCAGUUUAAAGGGUUAUAUUCAAGACUGUGGUGAGAGGAGAAAUUACAAGUGCAUGUACAGUAUAUUCAUAUGUAGCUGAGAUACAAUGAUGCUCCUUUAGCGUCAGAAUCAAAAUAAAGUUUGUUACCAAGUAGGUUUUCACUUACAAAGAAUGUACCGUGGUCU